rnacentral:misc_RNA from 1 species
GAUGAAGAACGCAGCGAAAUGCGAUAAGUAAUGUGAAUUGCAGAAUUCAGUGAAUCAUCGAAUCUUUGAACGCACAUUGCGCCCCCUGGUAUUCCGGGGGGCAUGCCUGUUCGAGCGUCAUUUCACCACUCAAGCCUCGCUUGGUAUUGGGCAACGCGGUCCGCCGCGUGCCUCAAAUCGACCGGCUGGGUCUUCUGUCCCCUAAGCGUUGUGGAAACUAUUCGCUAAAGGGUGUUCGGGAGGCUACGCCGUAAAACAACCCCAUUUCUAAGGUUGACCUCGGAUCAGGUAGGGAUACCCGCUCAACUUAAGCAUAUCAAUAAGCGGAGGA